AGUGAAGGAGGCUGCCUGGGGUCUUGCCCGCUAUGCUGCCAUUUCUCAAGUAUAGCACCCCAAACAAAUUGCUGUAUUGCUACCUGUUGUUUAUAAUCUCUACUUGCUGAUUAAGAUUUUGUUACUUGGAUCUUGUAGGACAAUGGAUUGGUCCCAAUUGUGGAGCCAGAAAUCUUGCUUGAUGGUGAGCAUGGCAUUGACAGGACUUUCGAAGUAGCCCAGAAGGUUUGGGCUGAGGUUUUCUUCUACAUGGCAGAGAACAAUGUCAUGUUUGAGGGUAUUCUUCUCAAGCCUAGUAUGGUCACUCCUGGUGCUGAAUGCAAGGACAGGGCCACCCCUGAACAAGUUGCUGAGUACACACUCAAGCUCCUUCAGAGGAGAAUCCCCCCAUCCGUCCCUGGAAUCAUGGCAAGUUGCAUUUCAACUUUCAUUCACAGUUUUACUUCUUUUUUUGCAUGAAGUGUUAAAAUUUCGGCUUAUCAAGAUUAACAUGCUUUAGGCAGGACGGCUUCUUUAGCAAUAAUAGUGAAACAUGUACUGAUCAUGGAUUAUUUUUUGAGCAGUUUUUGUCUGGUGGGCAAUCCGAGGUUGAAGCAACCCUGAACCUCAACGCAAUGAACCAGUCUGCAAACCCAUGGCACGUGUCUUUCUCAUAUGCUAGAGCUCUCCAGAACACUUGCUUGAAGACAUGGGGAGGCAGGCCAGAGAACGUGAAUGCAGCUCAGGAAGCACUUCUCAUCCGUGCCAAGGCCAACUCUCUUGCUCAGCUUGGCAAGUACACCGGUGAGGGAGAGUCAGAUGAAGCCAAGAAAGGAAUGUUCGUCAAGAACUACGCCUACUAAGCUCUGUUGUGAUUGAAAUCUAUAGAUGAAGAAGAUGGGGAUCCGAGGGAGCAACUGCAACACUAAUUUAUCUAAAUGUUUAAAAGAUUUUAUAGCCAUG
rnacentral:lncRNA from 1 species